GUGCCAGCAGCCGCGGUAAUACGGAGGAUGCAAGCGUUAUCCGGAUUCAUUGGGUUUAAAGGGUGCGUAGGCGGAAUAAUAAGUCAGUGGUGAAAGCCUGCGGCUUAACCGUAGAAAUGCCAUUGAUACUGUUAUUCUUGAGUAUAGUUGAGGUGGGCGGAAUGUGUAAUGUAGCGGUGAAAUGCUUAGAUAUUACACAGAACACCAAUUGCGAAGGCAGCUCACUAAGCUGUUACUGACGCUGAGGCACGAAAGCGUGGGGAGCAAACAGGAUUAGAAACCCCCGUAGUCC
rnacentral:rRNA from 1 species